UACAGAGGUCUCAAGCGUUUGUUCGGAUUCAUUGGGCGUAAAGGGCGCGUAGGCGGUGGGGUAAGUCUGGUGUGAAAUCUCGGAGCUUAACUCCGAAACUGCAUUCGAUACUGCCGUGCUUGAGGACUGGAGAGGAGACUGGAAUUUACGGUGUAGCGGUGAAAUGCGUAGAUAUCGUAAGGAAGACCAGUGGCGAAGGCGGGUCUCUGGACCGAUACUGACGCUGAGGAGCGAAAGCGUGGGGAGCGAACAGG
rnacentral:rRNA from 1 species